CCUACGGGUGGCAGCAGUGAGGAAUAUUGGUCAAUGGGCGGAAGCCUGACCCAGCCAAGUAGCGUGCGGGAUGAAGGCCCUACGGGUCGUAAACCGCUUUUGCACGGGGAUAACACCCUCCACUUGUGGAGGUCUGCAGGUACCGUGCGAAUAAGGGCCGGCUAAUUCCGUGCCAGCACCCGCGGUAAUACGGAAGGGCCGAGCGUUAUCCGGAUUCAUUGGGCUUAAAGGGAGCGUAGGCGGGCGUGCAAGUCAGCGGUAAAAUCGCGGGGCUAAACCGCGCCCCGCAGUUGAAACUGGAGGCCUUGAGUUCACAAGAGGCAGGCGGAAUUCGUGGUGUAGCGGUGAAAUGCAUAGAUAUAACGAGGAACCCCGGUUGCGAAGGCAGCCUGCCGGGGUGCGACUGACGCUGAGGCUCGAAGGUGCGGGUAGCAAACAGGAUUAGAUACCCUGGUAGUC
rnacentral:rRNA from 1 species